AGUCUUGACUUCCAGUCAGAAAGGAUCAUUUAGUUUAAUUCCUCAUACAUCCACAAUUUAGAUUUUUAAGAAUUCCUGGAUGCUCAUUGUAUCAUACAUAUGUAAACAAACUUUACUAAAUAAUGCUCUGGUUGUCUCUGAAGGGGCCGUGAGGUCUGUGUCUUCUACCAUAUGCUGGAUUUUCCACAGUAGACUGGAUCCAGCCACACUUCCUGCCUUGUCACCAUGGCGACAGAAAUCGCGCCAAGCAAGCAGUCUCCGUCUGCUGCGGAGGGACUCCACGAGGACCGGGAGCUUGUUUCUGAGGCUGGGUACUACGGAGCAGCACCGGGGCUGUUUGGGUUAAUCUGCCCCCGAGCCUCGCCCUGAUUGGUCGGAGGCGCGGUGAUGCUGAGGCCGGCGCCGCGUCGCUGUCCAACCGGCCGCGGUGCUGGAGCGCCGAAUCACGCUUGUCGGCUUAAUUGGUUCAGACUUGCAGCUACAUAUGCAGUUUUAAGCGAGUGCGUUGAGAAGGUGCACAGAGAGGGAGGCUGUGUUCAAUUAAAAGCAACGCUUCGUUGGGACCCGCAGCGACUCAUCGCCAUUGUACUGAACGUCGUGUCAGAGCUGAUUAGUCGAAUCUGGACUAUUGUCCCCUGCCACGUAUUACCACCCAUAAGAAGAAUACUUGGUUUCCUAUUAAGACAAAUAAAAGGCCUCAUACCGUG